CGGAGGUGUGAUGAUAUUUAUCCAUCUAUUCUGUUAUCUGAUGAUGAAUUACAAACAUGCACUACCAUCUGAUCUCUG
rfam:Citrus sinensis cultivar Ridge Pineapple sweet orange scaffold00007_contig_100, whole genome shotgun sequence.